rnacentral:rRNA from 1 species
CCUACGGGCGGCAGCAGUGGGGAAUAUUGGGCAAUGGGCGCAAGCCUGACCCAGCAACGUCGCGUGAAGGAAGAAGGCUCUCGGGUUGUAAACUUCUUUUUAGGGGGAAGAGCAGAAGACGGUACCCCUUGAAUAAGCCACGGCUAACUACGUGCCCGCAGCCGCGGUAAUACGUAGGUGACAAGCGUUGUCCGGAUUUACUGGGUGUAAAGGGCGUGCAGCCGGAGAGACAAGUCAGAUGUGAAAUCCACGGGCUCAACCCGUGAACUGCAUUUGAAACUGUUUCCCUUGAGUGUCGGAGAGGGAAUCGGAAUGCGUUGUGUAGCGGUGAAAUGCGUAGAUAUAAGGAAGAACACCAGUGGCGAAGGCGGAUUACUGGACGAUAACUGACGGUGAGGCGCGAAAGCGUGGGGAGCAAACAGGAUUAGAUACCCGAGUAGUC